GACGAACGCUGGCGGCGUGCUUAACACAUGCAAGUCGAACGAAGUGGCGAACGGGUGAGUAACGCGUAAUCAACCUGCACUUCAGAGGGGGACAACAGGUGGAAACGACUGCUAAUACCGCAUACUGAAGGAGGGGAUUGCGUCUGAUUAGCUCGUUGGAGGGGUAACGGCCGACCAAGGUGAUGAUCAGUAGCCGUUCGGGGCGGAUGAACGGCCAUAUUGGGACUGAGACCCGGCCCAGACUCCUACGGGAGGCAGCAGUGGGGAAUAUUCCGCAAUGGACGAAAGUCUGACUGAGCAACGCCGCGUGAGUGAUGACGGCCUUCGGGUUGUAAAGCUCUGUUAAUCGGGACGCGGUACCGGAAUAGAAAGCCACGGCUAACUACGUGCCAGCCGCCGCGGUAAUUC
rnacentral:rRNA from 1 species